rnacentral:rRNA from 1 species
GACCUCGGAUCAGGUAGGGAUACCCGCUGAACUUAAGCAUAUCAAUAAGCGGAGGAAAAGAAACCAACAGGGAUUGCCUCAGUAACGGCGAGUGAAGCGGCAAAAGCUCAAAUUUGAAAUCUGGCUCUUUCAGGGUCCGAGUUGUAAUUUGUAGAAGAUGCUUUGGGUGUGGCUCUGGUUUAAGUUCUUUGGAAUAUUACAUCAUAGAGGGUGAGAAUCCCGUAUGUGACCAGUCGCCGCGCCCGUGUAAAGCUCUUUCAACGAGUCGAGUUGUUUGGGAAUGCAGCUCAAAAUGGGAGGUAUAUUUCUUCUAAAGCUAAAUAUUGGCCAGAGACCGAUAGCGCACAAGUAGAGUGAUCGAAAGAUGAAAAGCACUUUGGAAAGAGAGUUAAACAGUACGUGAAAUUGUUGAAAGGGAAGCGCUUGCAACCAGACUUGCACGCAGUUGAUCAUCCGGUGUUCUCACCGGGGCACUCUGCUGCGUUCAGGCCAGCAUCGUUUUUGGUGGUUGGAUAAAGACCUUGGGAAUGUAGCUUCUUUCGGGGAGUGUUAUAGCCCUCGGUGCAAUGCAGCCUACCGGGAACGAGGACCGCGCUUCGGCUAGGAUGCUGGCGUAAUGGUUGUAAGCGGCCCGUCUUGGAACACGGACCAAGGAGUCUAACAUGCCUGCGAGUGCAAGGGUGGCAAGCCCACGCGCGUAAUGAAAGUAAAGGCACCUGGUGCCGAGAUGGGAAUCGCAAGAUGCACCAUCGCCCGACCAUGCGCUUCUGCAAACGGUUUGAGGAAGAGCAGGUAUGCUAGGACCCGAAAGAUGGUGAACUAUGCCUGAGUAGGGUGAAGCCUGAAGAAAUUCAGGUGGAGGCUCGUAGCGAUACUGACGUGCAAAUCGUUCGUCGAACUUGGGUAUAGGGGCGAAAGACUAAUCGAACCA